rnacentral:rRNA from 1 species
GACGAACGCUGGCGGCGUGCUUAACACAUGCAAGUCGAACGGAAAGGCCCUGCUUGCUGGGUACUCGAGUGGCGAACGGGUGAGUAACACGUGGGUUAUCUGCCCUUCACUUCGGGAUAAGCCUGGGAAACUGGGUCUACUACCGGAUAGGAGCCAUUUUUAGUGUGAUGGUUGGAAAGUUUUUUCGGUGUAGGAUGAGCUCGCGGCCUAUCAGCUUGUUGGUGGGGUAAUGGCCUACCAAGGCGGCGACGGGUAGCCGGCCUGAGAGGGUGGACGGCCACAUUGGGACUGAGAUACGGCCCAGACUCCUACGGGAGGCAGCAGUGGGGAAUAUUGCACAAUGGGCGCAAGCCUGAUGCAGCGACGCCGCGUGGGGGAUGACGGCCUUCGGGUUGUAAACUCCUUUCGCUAGGGACGAAGCUUUUGUGACGGUACCUAGAGAAGAAGCACCGGCUAACUACGUG